AACGUACGCUGGCGGCACGCCUAACACAUGCAAGUCGAACGAAGUAGCAAUACUUAGUGGCAGACGGGUGAGUAACAUGUAGGUAUCUGCCCUUUGGCCUGGAAUAACACGAGGAAACUUGUGCUAAUACCGGAUAAGUCUUUACGGAGAAAGCUUUAUGCACCAUUGGAUGAGCCUGCACUUGAUUAGUUUGUUGGUGGGGUAAUGGCCUACCAAGACUGUGAUCAAUAGCUGAUUUGAGAGGAUGAUCAGCCACAUUGGGACUGAGACACGGCCCAAACUCCUACGGGAGGCAGCAGUGGGGAAUCUUGCACAAUGGAGGAAACUCUGAUGCAGCGAUGCCGCGUGAGUGAAGAAGGCCCUUGGGUUGUAAAGCUCUUUCGUCGGGGAAGAAAAUGACUGUACCCGAAUAAGAAGGUCCGGCUAACUUCGUGCCAGCAGCCGCGGUAAUACGAAGGGACCUAGCGUAGUUCGGAAUUACUGGGCUUAAAGAGUUCGUAGGCGGUUGAAAAAGUUAGUGGUGAAAUCCCAGAGCUUAACUCUGGAACUGCCAUUAAAACUUUUCAGCUAGAGUAUGAUAGAGGAAAGCAGAAUUUCUAGUGUAGAGGUGAAAUUCGUAGAUAUUAGAAAGAAUACCAAUUGCGAAGGCAGCUUUCUGGAUCAUUACUGACACUGAGGAACGAAAGCAUGGGUAGCGAAGAGGAUUAGAUACCCUCGUAGUCCAUGCCGUAAACGAUGUGUGUUAGACGUUGGAAAUUUAUUUUCAGUGUCGCAGGGAAACCGAUAAACACACCGCCUGGGGAGUACGACCGCAAGGUUAAAACUCAAAUGAAUUGACGGGGACCCGCACAAGUAGUGGAGCAUGUGGUUUAAUUCGAAGAUACGCGCAGAACCUUACCAACACUUGACAUGUUCGUCGCGACUCUAAGAGAUUAGAGUUUUCGGUUCGGCCGGACGAAACACAGGUGCUGCAUGGCUGUCGUCAGCUCGUGUCGUGAGAUGUUGGGUUAAGUCCCGCAACGAGCGCAACCCUCACUUUUAGUUGCCAUCAUUAAGUUGGGCACUCUGAAAGAACUGCCAGUGAUAAGCUGGAGGAAGGUGGGGAUGACGUCAAGUCCUCAUGGCCCUUACGUGUUGGGCUACACACGUGCUACAAUGGUAUCUACAACAGGAAGCAAGACUGCGAAGUUAAGCAAAUCCCUAAAAGAUACCUCAGUUCGGAUUGCACUCUGCAACUCGAGUGCAUGAAGCUGGAAUUACUAGUAAUCGUGGAUCAGCGUGCCACGGUGAAUGCGUUCCCGGGUCU
rnacentral:rRNA from 1 species